UUUUUUUUUUCUCUUGUUCCCCCUUUGAUGGAUGUCUGGAUAAUCUCUUUUAAAUGUAGUCCUCGUCCAACAUAAACAAAUGAAUAACUUACAAACUGGACCGGUGAUCUUCCACCUCCCCUUCCAAAGCAAGGACGCCUCUCCGAUUUGACGACAACAAAAAAAAAGAAAAAAAGAAAAAAAAAACCCAAUCGUAAAAAUGGUGAACAAAAAACGUCAGCUAUCAGCAGAAUUUGACAUGGAGGAUGGGUGGGACUGCUGAGUAUGAGCCUGAGAUUGAGUUUCAGUUUGUGCCUGAGCCUGCUUUUGCUGUUCAACAAAUCUGCUCAAACGCUCAAUCAACUGCUGAGCCUUCCUCUUUCCCCGGUCUGUGCC
rnacentral:misc_RNA from 1 species